AGACUAGAUCGAUAGGGCUGCACAGAGGUGGCACAGUUGUGCCAGAGGGCCAGACUUUGGCAGCGUGUAAGGUCUGAGGACAGGGGCACCGGAGGCCGAGGAUGAGAGGCCAGUGCCUGUUUCCAGGCAGCCAGGGCCUCAGAAACUCCGGCCGGAGCACUCACCCGUCGGUGGAGGCCGUUACCAGGGCCACCUUAUUUGCGAGCGGGUCCCGGCGGGUCAUCCCGGAGCUGGCCAUCCGCACCGAAUUCCAAGCCCGGGCACAGAGGCCUAGCAGCCCCGCCUUGUGCAUGGAUCAGACCAGCAAGUAUGGGUUCCACUCUUCCCAGGGGCGGUGACAGAGUAGGGCGAGGGGCAGGACGAAGGGCGGGCCGAUUCCCUGCCCGCCCUGCUCCCCGCCCCGGUACCGCUGUGAGCGGUCUGUGGCCCUGGGCACCUCCAUCCGCCGCGGCGCCCCUCCACCAUCUACCUUCCGCCUGACUGGGGCUUGCCUUUCCGGGCUGGCGGGUGAGCUCUCCGUUCAAGUUGCCUGUAGGGCUCGCCCCUCCCCUGGCCCUUGCAGGAACCCGCAGGCUUUGGCUGCUGCCUUUCUGCAUCUGCUUGCCCACCUUUUCUUCUCUGGGAAGUGGGGGUUUUGAGUUGGUUGCUUUUGCUUCUUCAGAAUUCCUUCUCCAAGAAAGUCUGGGUCUAUGUGUGUGACAGCCCACAGGAGGGCAAAUGUUUUGAGACUGCCCAUGGAGGUGAGGCCUGUGGUCGCCAUGGAGUCCACCAGGUGAGGCUGGAAGAGCCUGGGAGAGAGACGUGAUAGGGAGUAGCUGCGCCAGGCCUGGCACUGCCCUUCACUCUGCCCAAGGUCUCUUCCAUCUUCACGGGCCCUGGAGGGCAGACUAUGGUCAUUGGCCAAACAGCAUUCUCAUGUCCGUUGACAAAGGGACUUCCUCCUUUACAGGGGCUAAGUGGUAGCGAGGAGGCUGGACAGUCCCUCAAGCAGUGGUGGAAAUGCAAAGAACUCGGGGCACUCAAGUUCUCCCUAACCACUCUGUCCCCAGGUCUUAGCCGCCAUCUUAGUUCAAUAAAUAUUUGUUGAAUGCAAAAUCUCUUUAUGAACUGUAAGCUACUAAGCACAUAGUAGUUACUGCCACCAUGUAGUGAUUAUUAUUGGUGCCCUGGGCCAGACUCUUCAUCUGUAAAUUACUGAGGGUAUGGAUGAUGAAUAAAGUCCUUGCCAGCUAUAAAUUCUGUGUCCAAGACUUCAGUCUGCACUUCUGCCAAGUGGGCUGAAAUGAUCUCCCUCCUGGGUUUCCGGGAGAAUGAAGAAAUCUGGAUGGCUUAUGGUACAGUGUAGAAAGGCCCCAACAGACCCAAAUGCAAGCAUCUGAAUUGGUUUAACCCACUGGCCUCCAAAGCCAGACUGAGAAGCAGUGCUGGUUCAUGGCAGCGUUUUCACUAGUUCAAGGCAAAAUGAGAAAAGGAAACAAUUACAGUGAGUUUCAUAAAGCUAAGCUUAUUUAACAGUCCUUUAUUGUGGAGUAUACGUUUGCUUCUUUUUGUGUGUGUGUGUGUGUGUUAGUGUUUUCUUUUAGAAAAGAUGAUGAAAGCAGAUGGGUAGGUUUAGAGAUGUGUUAUUGGUGAAAUCACCAGUUUGGCAGCCUUAUGCCAGUCCCUACAAUUAAAGGGGAAAGAAUCCUGGUUUGUGAAAUCCAGUUCUAGGCAUGACUUUUGAAUAGAAUUCAUGUUUGCUCAAGAUUCAUUUAGUAUAUGUGCAGGUAAGCUGAGCAGCUGAAAAAGGGUUUCAACAUUCAAAAGGGGGUGUAUGGUGAGCAAGUAAUAGAACGGCCUGCACUGGAAUUCUAGUGUUUUCCUCAGCCAAGAAGUUACAGCUGCAAUACUCUGCUUUGCUACUCAGCAGAUCCCGAUGAGACAGGAGAGCUUCAGUAUAAUUUUCCCCAUGUCCAGGGAAGGCUGACUCUGACUGGUGCUCCUCAGUCUGAGCCUCAUGAAUUAUUGACAGAGGCUGGAAGCGCCACACUGCUUGUCCUCUUGCACUGUUUGGAGCUAACGCACUGUGGGAACCCUUCCCAGGGCUCUCCAUCUGUGUGUGCGGCUGGGGGAGGGUACACAGGAGGACGGCUGCGGGGGUUCUCAGGGCUUGGUUCAAAGGGACAGGCCUGCAGGGGGCGUUUGAUCUCUCUUUCCCUUCUCUUCAGAGGUAGACAGGUGGACUCAGGGGCUGAGGUUGGCAGGAAGGUGAGGAAGACUACACUUCAAAGAGCAAAGGAUUCUGGGAAGAGAGAAUUGUGGCUUGGGUGCUUGGUGAACAUUACAUGGCCCUUCCUUGUGUGGGCAGGGUUGCUAUUUGGCCUCUAGCACUAUUUCUUUUGUGGAGAGCACAGGGGACAUUAGGGAGGGGGCCUGUGAGCAGAAAAGGAUGGAAGGAAGUCAAGAAGUAUGGGACUCUCUAGCACUACUCCUCAUCAAGCUCGCUUAUUGGAGAUAAGAACAGGAAAUCUUGGGCUGGGCAUGGUGGCUCACACCUGUAAUCCUCUUUACUAACAAUACGAAAAUUAGCUGGGCGUGGUCAGAAGUUCGAGAUCAGCCUGGCCAACAUGGUGAAACCUCAUCUCUACUAAAAAUACAAAAACCAGCCGGGCCUGGUGGCAUGUGCCUGUAAUCCCAGCUACUCAGGAGGCUGUGGCAGGAGAAUUGCUUGAACGUGGGAGGCAGAGGUUGCAGUGAGCCAAAAUCAUGCCAUUGCACUCCAGCCUGGGCAGCAGAAUGAAAGACUCCAUCUAAAUAAAUAAAUAAAUAAAUAAAUAAAUAAAUAAAUAAAUAACGGGAAAUCUUUCAGGGAAAUACAUGCAUAUGUGGGAGUAUCUCUUUGAAAUGGGAACUGUAACAGGCAAUGGGAUUGUUCUUACAUGGAGGUGGUAACAUCUGCCUAUCUUGAGGGACAAAUGCCUUCAUGAGUGAGGGCACUACUCCCAUCCUUUUCAAGGGCUGCCUGCGGUCCAGAAGAGAUUUCACCUGGGGUGGAAUUUAAGUCUUGCGUUUUGCAAUAGCUGUCCUAGAUUGAGUCGAGUCCUGCAUCACUGACACAAGUCAGAAUUAGGCAAUGUGGGAGGGCUGGUGUGGGGUUAGGACAACUACCAAGCAGAGAAAGUAAUAGUAAGAGUGUUAACAGUAUUUAUUGAGCACUUCCUUACUAAAUGCUGGCAAGCGUUAAGUGCUUUUUAUAAAUUUUAUUGAAUAUUUUUAGUCUGGUGAAAUGGGUGUUUUAAUGUAGGGAGCCAAAGGCCUGAGGGUCGUGACCAACUCAGCAUUCCACUGAAGGCUGUAUGAUCUAACAGCAAACUGUUUAUCAUGAAUGCAGAAUGUGGGCAAACUCACUUCUGCGCCUGCUACCAGAAGGUUUGCUGAGGGCAAUGACUCCCUGGUGCUGUGCUCCUUGAGGUUAUCUACAGGAACAUCUGGAGACUACUGUUCAAAGAAUGCAGUCAUGCAAGCCUGCACUAAGCCAAGCAGCUGACUGACAACUACCCCCUUCUCCCUAUCUCCUUUACUCAAUAAAUACAAAGGGCUAUAGAAGCUCAGGGCCCUUCUUCACUAGAAGCAAGGAGCCUCCUGACCCCUUCUUCCAAAAUACUCUUUUGUCUUUGUCUUUAUUCCCACAUUCAUCUUCUUUUGUUAAGUCCACCAAGGACUGUGGCAUUUUAACUUCUUCUUCUUUUUUUUUUUUUACUUUGUGACAGAGUUUUGCUCUGUCGCCAGGCUGGAGUGCAGUGGCACAAUCUCAGCUCACUGCAACCUCUGCCUCCUGGGUUCAAGUGAUUCUCCUGCCUCAGCCUCCCAAGUAGCUGGGACCACAGGUGCAUACCACCUCACCCAGCUAAUUUUUGUAUUUUUAGUAGAGACGGGGUGUCACCAUGUUGGCCAGGAUGAUCUCGAUCCCUUGACCUAGUGAUCUUCCUGCCUUGGCCUCCAAAAGUGCUGGGAUAGCAGGCGUGAGCCACUGCACCCAAUUAGGUGUUUUAAAUUCUCUAUGUGAAAUCAGAGUGACUGAUGACAACCUUGACCACUGUGUGUGUUGCAUAGUUACACUUCAGUUUUCUGGCAUUGUUGGGCAAUCCAUAGUUUUCAUAGAAAUCAAUUUUCUCUCAACUGGAAUUUAAACUUUCAGGAUCAGUGUGUUUUUCAAAUCAACACAUCUACUCAUUAAAUUAUAUAAAUAACACAUUAUUUUAAAAAGGGACAGAAAAUUAUUUGAAAAGUAAAAGGUAACUCUUCCCUAUGGUUCUUUUACCUUCUUCCCAUAUAGCUCUUGGCUUUGUGUAUCCUUCCAGAAGUUUCCUGUACAUUUACAUGCAUUUUUCUUUUAAAAAUUUUUUCCACAAUUGAAAUGACACUAUACAUACUGUCCUUCAAAUUUCUUUUCUUUUCUUUCUUCUAUGCUCCAAUCCCCACUUUUUAAUUUCUUUUUUUAAAUAAUUAUACUUUAAGUUCUGAGAUACACUUGCAGAAUGUGCAGGUUUGUUACACAAGUGUACAUGUGCCAUGGUGGUUUUCUGCACCCAUCAACCCAUCAUCUACAUUAAGUAUUUCUCCUAAUGCUAUCCCUCCCCUAGCCCCCCACCCCCCUGAAAAGGCCAUGGUGUGUGAUAUUGCCCUCCCUGUGUCCAUGUGUUCUCAUUGUUCAACUUCCACUUAUGAGUGAGAACGUGCAGUGUUUGGUUUUCUGUUCUUUCAUUAGUUUGCUGAGAAUGACGGUUUCCAGCUUCAUCCAGGUCUUUGCAAAGGACAUGAACUCAUCAUUUUUUAUGGCUGCAUAAUAUUCCAUGGUGUAUAUGUGCCACAUUUUCUUUUUCCAGUCUAUCAUUGAUGGGCAUUUGGGUUGGUCCAAGGUUUUUCUAUUGUGAACAGUGCUGCAAUAAACAUAUAUAUGCAUGUGUCUUUAUAGUAGAAUGAUUUAUAAUCCUUUGGAUAUAUACCCUGUAAUGGGAUUGCUGGGUCAAAUGGUAUUUGUAGUUCUAGAUCCUUGUGGAAUGGCCACACUGUCUUCCACAAUGGUUGAACUAAUUUACACUCCCACCAACAGUAUAAAAGCGUUCCUAUUUCUCCACAUCCUCUCCAGCAUCUGUUGUUUCCUGACAUUUUAAUGAUUGCCAUUCUAACUGGUGUGAGAUGGUAUCUCAUUGUGGUUUUGAUUUGCAUUUUUCUAAUGAGCAGUGAUGAUGAGCAUUUUUUCAUGUUUCUUGGCUGCAUAAAUGUUUUCUUUUGAGAAGUAUCUGUUCACAUUCUUAGCCCACUUUUUGAUGGUUUUUUUUUCUUGUAAAUUUAAGUUUUUUGUACAUUCUGGAUAUUAGCCCUUUGUCAGAUAGAUAGAUUGCAAAAAUUUUCUCACAUUCUGUAGGUUCUCUGUUCACUCUAAUUAUAGUUUCUUUUGGUGUACAGAAGCUCUUUAGUUUAAUUAAGUCCCAUUUGUCUAUUCUGGCUUUUUUUGCUGUUGCUUUGGGUAUUUUAGUCGUGAAGUCUUUGCUCAUGCCUAUGUCCUGAAUGGUAUGUCCUAGGUUUUCCUCUAGGGUUUUUAUGGUUUUAGGUCUUAUGUUUAAGUCUUUAAUCCAUCUUGAGUUAAUUUUUUUAUAAGGUGUAAGGAAGGGGUCCAGUUUCAGUUUUCUGCAUAUGGCUAGCCAGUUUUCCCAACACCAUUUAUUAAAUAGGAAAUCUUUUCCUUAUUGCUUGUUUUUGUUAGGUUUGUCAAAGAUCAGAUGGUUGUAGAUGUGUGGUGUUGUUUCUGAGGCCUCUGUUCUGUUCCAUUGGUCUAGAUAUCUGUUUUGGUACCAGUACCAUGCUGUUUUGGUUACUGUAGCCUUGCCGUAUAGUUUGAAGUGAGGUAGCAUCAUGCGUCCAGCUUUGUUCUUUUUGCUUAGGAUUGUCUUCAUUAUAUUGGCUCUUUUUUGGUUCCAUAUAAAAUUCAAAGUAGUUUUUUCCAAUUCUGUGAAGAAAGUCAAUGGUAGCUUGAUGGGGAUAGCAUUGAAUCUAUAAAUUACUUUGGGCAGUAUGGCCAUUUUCACGAUAUUGAUUCUUCCUAUCCAUGGGCAUGGAAUGUUUUUCCAUUUGUUUGUGUCCUCACUUAUUUCCUCGAGCAGUGUCUGUAUUUCUCCUUGAAGAGGUCCUUCACAUCCCUUGUAAGUUGGAUUCCUAGGUAUUUUAUUCUCUUUGUAGCAAUUGUGAAUGGGAGUUCACUCAUGAUUUGGCUCUCUAUUGUCUGUUAUUGGCGUAUAGGAAUGCUUGUCAUUUUUGCACAUUGAUUUUGUAUCCUGAGACUUUGCUGAAGUUGCUUAUCAGCUUAAGGAGAUUUUGGGCUGAGACGAUAAGGUUUUCUAAAUAUACAAUCAUGUCAUCUGCAAACAGAGACAAUUUUACUUCCUCUCUUCCUGUUUGAAUACCUUUUAUUUCUUUCUCUUUCCUGAUUGCCCUAGCCAGAACUUCCAAUACUAUGUUGAAUAGGAGUUGUAGUUGUGAGAGGGCAUCCUUGUCUCGUGCCUUUUUUCAAAGGGAAUGCUUCCAGUUUUUGCCCAUGCAGUAUGAUACUGGCUGUGGCUUUGUCAUAAAUAGCUCUUAUUAUUUAGAGAUACAUCCCAUCAAUACCUAGUUUAUUGAGAGUUUUUAGCAUGAAGGGGUGUUCAAUUUUAUCGAAGGCCUUUCUGUAUCUAAAUAAUUAAUCAUGUGGUUUUUAUCAUUGGUUCUGUUUAUGUGAUUGAUUACGUUUAUUGAUUUGCAUAUGUUGAACAAGCCUUGCAUCUCAGGGAUGAAGUCGGCUUGAUCAUGGUGGAUAACCUUUUUGAUGUGCUGCUGGAUUCGUUUUGCCAGUAUUUUAUUGAGGGUUUUUGCAUUGAUUUUCAUCUGGGAUAUUGGCCUAAAAUUCUCUUUUUUUUGUUGUGUCUCUGCCAGGCUUUGUUUUCAGGAUGAUACUGACCUAAUAAAAUGAGUUAGGGAGGACUCCCUCUUUAUCUAUUGAUUGGAAUAGUUUUAGAAGGAAUGGUACCAGCUCCUCUUUGUACCUCUGGUAGAAUUCAGCUGUGAAUCCAUCUGGUCCUGGACUUUUUUUGGUUGGUAGGCUAUUAAUUAUUAUCUCAAUUUUAGAACCUGAUAUUGGUCUAUUCAAAGAUUCAACUUCUUCCUGAUUUUCUCUUGGAAGGGUCUAUGUGUCCAGGAAUUUAUCCAUUUCUUCUAGAUUUUCUCGAUUAUUUGUGUAGAGGUGUUCUCUGAUGGUAGUUUGUAUUUCUGUGGGAUGGGAGGUGAUAUCCCCUUUUUCAUUUUUUAUUGUGUCCAUUUCAUUUUUCUCUCUUUUCUGCCUUAUUAGUCUUGCCAGCGGUCUAUCUAUUUUGUUGAUAUUUUCAAAUAACCAGCUCCUGGAUUCAUUGGUUUUUUGAAGGUUUCUUUUGUGUCUCUAUCUCCUUCAGUUCUGCCGUGAUCUUAGUUAUUUCUUGUCUUCUGCUAGCUUUUGAAUUUGUUUGCUCUUGCUUCUCUAGUUCUUUUAGUUGUGAUGUUAUGGAGUUCAUUUUAGAUCUUUUCUGCUUUCUCUUGUGGGCAUUUAGUGCUAUAAAUUUCCCUCUAUACACUGUUUUAAAUGUGUCCCAGAGAUUCUGGUACAUUGUGUCUUUGUUUUCAUUGAUUUCAAGGAACAUCUUUAUUUCUGCUUUAAUUUUGUUAUUUACCCAGUAGUCAUUCAGGAGCAGGUUGUUCAGUUUCCAUGCAGUUGUGCAGUUUUGAGUGAGUUUCUUAAUCCUGAGUUCUAAUUUGAUUGCACUGUGGUCUGAGAGACAUUUUGUUGUGAUUUCUGUUCUUUGACAUUUGCUAAGGAGUGUUUUACUUCCAAUUGUGUGGUCAAUUUUAGAAUAAGCAUGAUGAGGUGCUGAGAAGAAUGUAUAUUCUGUUGAUUUGUAAUGGAAAGUUCUGUAGAUGUGUGUUAGGUCUGCUUGGUCUAGAGCUGAGUUCAAAUCCUGGAUAUCCUUGUUAAUUUUCUGUCUUUUUGUCUGUCUAAUAUUAAAAGUGGGGUUUAUAGUUUCCCAUUAUUAUUGUGUGGGAGUGUAAGCCUCUUUGUAGGUCUGUUUGAACUUUCUUUAUGAACCUGGGUGCUCCUGUAUUGGGUGCAUAUAUAUAUUUAGGAUAGUUAGCUCUUCUUGUUGAAUUGAUUCUUUUACCAUUAUGUGAUGGCCUUCUUUGUGUCUUUUGAUCUUUGUUGGUUUAAAUUCUGUUUUAUCCGAGACUAGGAUUGCAACCCCUGCUUUUUUUCACUUUUUAUUUGUUUGGUAGAUCUUCCUUCAUCCCUUCAUUUUGAGCCUAUGUGUGUCUUUGCAUGUGUGAUGGGCCUCCUGAAUACAGCACACUGAUGGGUCUUGACUCUUUUUUUUUCCUUUUUUUUUUUUUUUUUUGAGACAGAGUCUCGCUCUGUCACCCAGGCUGGAGCGUAGUGGCACAAUGUCGGCUCACUACAUGCUCCACCUACUGGGUUCAUGCCAUUCUCCUGCCUCAGCCUCCCAAGUAGCUGGGACUACAGGCUGGUGCCACUAUGCCUGGCUAAGUUUUUGUAUUUUUAGUAGAGACGGGGUUUCACCAUGUUAGCCAGGAUGGUCUCAAUCUCCUGACCUCAUGAUCCGCCCGCCUUGGCCUCCCAAAGUGCUGGGAUUACAGGCAUGUGCCACUGCACCCGGCCGAGUCUUGACUCUUUAUCCAAUUUGCCAGUCUAUGUCUUUUAAUUGGGGCAUUUAUCCCAUUUACAUUUAAAGUUGAUAUUGCUAUAUGUGAAUUGGAUCCUGUCAUUAUGAUGUUAGCUGGUUAUUUCACCCAUUAAUUGAUACAGUGUCUUCAUAGCAUCAAUGGUCUUUACAAUUUGGUAUGUUUUUUGCAGUGGCAAAACAAAAAGGUUCUUCCUUUCCAUGUAAAGUGCUACCUUCAGGAGCUCUUCUAAGUCAGGCCUGGUGACAACAAAGUCUCUCAGCAUCUGCUUGUCUGUAAAGGAUUUUAUUUCUCCUUCACUUAUGAAGCUUAGUUUGGCUGGAUAUGAAAUUCUGUUUUGAAAAUUCUUUUAUUUAAGAAUGUUGAAUAUUGGUCCUGACUCUCUUCUGGCUUGUAGGGUGUAGGAAGACCCCCUGAAACUAUUGCUAUGGAAUAAAAGAUGAAAUGCUCCUGAUUAUUGUAAAUACAAAAUUGCAUGCAGGAUUGUCUAAAGACAAUGCCAGGUUGGACUGCCAGAAUGAACCAACAGCACGUGAUGUGCUUCCCUCUGCAGAGAGCCUAUGAAUGGACAUGCAGUCAGGGAGGUUUCACAUCACCAAGAUUCCUAUCCCAGAAAAGCAGAUGUUCAUAGCUCUGGGAAUGGAAUGCGGCCCUUGUGGAGAGCCUAUAAAUGGAUGCAUGGGGGGCACCUGUCCAUAUAGAUAAGAUAGGGCUAUAAAUGCCCUCAUCUUGCCAUGGCUCUUCUAGGCCUCUUUAGGGUUAAGGCAUACUCCCUUCUGAAAAUUUCUGGUCUAACCGGUUGUCUAGCUUCAGGUCCUGUUUCUAUGGAUUGUUCGUAACCAUCUUUUGCUGCAACUGUUACUGCUGAUUAAUAUCUUGCUAAUCAUGGGUUAUGAAAAGACUGUGUUUCUGUUUUAAGGCUCUGUUAGAAAUUACUGAUGUACACACUAUAUUGUAAAUCCUUAUCCCUGUAUACUGUACUUCUGCAUACAGAUGUUAUGUUAAAGAAUUACUUCAUCACCAUGUGACCAUCUCACAUCAUAAUCAAAUGACCCUAAAUCCCUCACUAACCUACCCCCAUCCUCACUAAACUUAAUAAUAGAUGCUGGUAUAUCCAGUGCGUUGUUGGCACCACGGGACCAAAAGGCGGUGACCCCCUGGACCCAGCUUUCACUGUCUUGUGUGUGUCUAUUAUUUCUCAACCUGCUGAUCCACCUGGGAACUAAGAGAGAGCCCUGUUGCAUUGCGGGCUGCUGGCCAGAUCCCGCAAUAGUAGGGUUUCUGCUGAAAUGUCCCCUGUUAGUCUGAUGGGCUUCCCUUUGUCAGUAACCCAACCUUUCUCUCUGGCUUCCCUUUACCUUGGUGAAUUUGACAAUUAUGUGUCUUGGGGUUGCUCUUUUUGAGGAGUAUGUUUGUGGUGUUCUCUGUAUUUCCUGAAUGAAUGUUCCUUUUUACUCUUUUUGUCUCUAAUCUUGUCUUCUCACUUAACUUCAUUAAUUUGAUCUUCAAUCACUGAUAUCCUUUCUUCUGCUUGAUCAAAUCAGCUAUUGAAGCUUGUGUAUCCUUCAUGAAGUUCUCCUACUGUGGUUUUCAGCCCCAUCAGGUCAUUUAAGCUCUUCUCUACACUGGUUAUUCUAGUUAGCCAUUUGUCUAACCUUUUUUCAAGGUUUUUAGCUUCCUUACGAUGGGUUAGAACAUGCUCCUUUAGCUCGGAGAAGUUUGUUAUUACUGACUUUCUGAAGCCUACUUCUGUCAACUCUCUGUCUAAUUUUGUUCCCUGUAUGGCCAGGACUUGUAUUCCUUUGGAGGAGAAGAGUUGUUCUGGUUUUUGGAUGUUUUGGCUGUUCUGCUCUGGUUUCUCCCAUCUUUGUGGUUUUAUCUACCUUUGGUCUUUGGUGUUGGUGACAUACAGAUGGGGUUUUGGCGUGGAUGUCCUUUUUGUUGAUGUUGAUGCUAUUCCUUUCUGUUUGUUAGUUUUCCUUCUAACAGACAGGCCUCUCAGCUGCAGGUCUUUUGGAGUUUGCUGGAGGUCCACUCCAGACUCUGUUUGCCUGGGUAUCACUAGCGGAGGCUGCAGAACAGCAAAUAUUGCUGCCUGAUCCUUCUUCUGGAAGCUUUGUCCCAGAGGGGCACCCACCUGUAGGAGGUGUCUGUCGGCCCCUACUGGGAGGUGUCUCCCAAUCAGGUUACACAGGGGUCAGGGACCCACUUGAGGAGGAAGUCUGUCCAUUAUCAGAGCUCAAAUGCCAUGCUGGGAGAACCACUGGUCUCUUCUGAGGUGUCAGGCAAUGAUGUUGAAGUCUGCAGAAGCUGUCUACUUCCUUUUAUUCAGGUACGCCCUGCCCCCUGAGGUGGAAUCUAGAGAGGCAGUAGGCCUUACUGAGCUGUGGUGGGCUCUGCCCAGUUUGAGCUUUUUUGCCGCUUUGUUUACACUGUGAUCAUAGAACCACCUACUCAAGCCUUAGCAAUGGUGGACGCCCCUCCCCCACCAAGUUCCACCAUCCCAGGUUAAUCUCAAACUGCUGCACUUGCAGUGAGUAAGCCUCUGUGGGCAUGGGACCUGCUGAGCCAGGCACGGGAGGGAAUCUCCCGGUCUGCUGAUUGCGAAGACCAUGGGAAAAGUGCGGUAUUUGUGCAGGAGUGUACCAUUUCUCCAGGUACAGUCACUCAUGGCUUCCCUUGGCUGGGAAGGGGAAAUCCCCUGAAUCCUUGCUCUUCCCAGGUGAGGUGACGCCCUGCCCUGCUUCAGCUCACCCUUUUUGGGCUGCACCCACUGUUCAAACAAUCUCAGUGACAUGAACCACGCACCUCAGUUGGAAAUGCAGAAAUCACCUGUCUUCUGUGUCAAUCAUGCUGGGAGCUGUAGACCAGAGCUGUUCCUAUUCAGCCAUCUUGGAAGCGACUCCUAGAAUUUUGUAACUCUGUUGUGUAGCUUACUCAAAUUUUUGGUUUUUCAGUUUUUUUCACUGAGUGCCAAGUAUUUAAGCAGUUGUUUGUGAAUACUGGUUGGAAAUAUCCCAGUAUUUGCAUGGUCCUAGCAGGCAGAAUAUUCUUAUAAAACAAGUAUGGGCUUCUCUUUCCCCUCAUGCCUAGGAUUGCUUUCUUCUGCUGUAUUUGGGAAGGGGUGGUAUGGGAAGGGGGUUUGUCUGUGCAGUUCCACAGUCUAUUUUCAAAUAGCAGGUGGCUCCAUCUUGGGCCUCAGCACUCUCUGGGGCUGGCCACUUCUGGGAACUCCAAGAUUAUGGCCCUUACAUUAUUUCUACAUGGAUGCUGAGAUGCAGGCUUUGGGGCAGGGAUGAGAUGGGGAAUACCAUACUUCCUGAUACAGUUUGGAUGUUUGUCCCCUCCAAAUCUCAUGCUGAAAUGUGAUUCCCAAUAUUGGAGGUGAGCUUGGUGGGAGGUGUUUGGUUCAUGGGGGUGGAUCCCUCAUGAAUGGCUUGGUGCCCUCCCCUUGGUGAUGAGUGAGUUCUCUCUCUUUUAGUGCAUGUGGGAGUUGGUUGUUAAAAGGAGCCUGGGACCUCCUCCAUGCUGGUACUGUGCUUGUACAGCCUGCAGAACUGUGAGCCAAAUAAACCCUGUUUCAAUAUGAAUUACCCAGUCUCAGGUAUUCCUUUAUAGCAAUGUAACAUGGACUCACACACUUCCCCAGCUGCCUAUUCUUUAUUCCUCACAAUGCCGUGGCACUAAGAAAUUCACUGAAGAUUUGGGGGCAGAAUGAAUCACAAUACAGAGGGACAAAUCCACCAGGCAUAGCAUGCCUAAUAUAAGUUCCCAUUGGGUCUUUUAUUGGCACCAGCAAAUUCCUAGCCCUGCUUUCAAAACUGAGGUUUCCUCUGUCCUCCAGAGAUAGUCCCUGUGGCAGAUGUGGAGACGCAGGUCAAAGCUCAGGUUUUCCUUCUAGACAGGACUCAUGGCCCAGCUGCUGAGAGCCUGAUUAGCUGUGAGUGUCCAGCUGUUAACUCCUUCUGGUCUACUUCAGCUUCUGGAAGGAGGUUACGUUCUUCUCAGGGCGGCUCUGGCCAUUUACUGAGCAGGACAGUGUGGUCAAGGACCUCACUAUUUCUGCCCAACAUGUGGCUUCUCUAAAGGUCCUCUUUGCUUUGGAGCUCUCAGGCAUUUGUCAGACCUGCAUCUCAUGGUCUAACACUUUCUUCUCAAUCCUGCUUCCUUCCUUUUCCUUUCACAGGUGCCACUUCGGAUAAACCCUUUGGACUCCUAACUCCAAUCAGGUGUCUGCUUUGUUGAGGACUCACAGACACAGUCUCCUUUCUUCAAGAUCUUUACAAUGCAAGACCUCACUAACACACAGGGAUGGUCUCCCAGAGGGUCUGUGCUGUUCCUUCACUCAGAACAUCAAGAUGCACUGAAGUAAGGAUCCUCUAUUCUACAGUUCCUGCUAGCUGAGCUAUUCCAUGGGGGCUUCAGCAGGAAAUUCCAAGGUUGGCUUUGACAAGCUAAGGCCGGCUGGUGGAGCACAUCGAGUUCUGGAGGUUCAUGUGUGUUUUCAUGAAGAUCUGUCUGCCCGUAGCAGAUAAAGAGUUGUUGCCCCACUCCUCCUGGGGUCUUCUAUUUUCCUGGGAGGAAUUUCUGGAUUAACUGAACACACACACACACACACACACCCUUUUGAAGCAUCAACAGUAAUUCUGAGUUCUUAGGGACAAUGCAGAUUAAAUCCACAAUAAGAAAGACAACUAUGGCCAGGUGUGGUGGCUCACGCCUGUAAUCCCAGAACUUUGGGAGGCUGAGGCGGAUGGAUCACCUGAGGUCAGGAGUUAGAGACCAACCUGACCAACAUGGAGAAACCCCGUUUCUACUAAAAAUGCAAAAUUAGCCGGGCAUGGUGGCAGGCGCCUGUAAUCCCAAAUACUCGGGAGGCUGAGGCAGGAGAAUCACUUAAACCCGGGAGGCAGAGGUUGCAGUGAGCCAAGAUCGCGCCAUUGCACUCCAGCCUGGGCAAGAAGAGCAAAACUCCAUCUCAAAAAAAAAAAAAGAGUACUAUUGAUCCAGAGGUGACCAGACUAGCCUCACUGGAGAUAAUAGGUGACAUUAUUAUGCAAAGUGGUUUCAGUUCCCUUGUCUUGUUUUUGGAAUAGUAUAAGAGGCCUACAAUACGAAUAAAUAAGGCCCAUCACAAGCCUCACCAAAGGACAAAACUAAUCCACUUCUGAAGAAGGCUCUUUGUUGGGCCAGAUCAAAUCCUUGGACAGAACUGUACUCUUAAUCUCUGUAGUGAAAGUGGGGGGUAGUUUAAGAAUUUAUUAACCUUCUACCUUGAGCAAUCCCUCAGAAGUAAGAGGUGUCAGGCCUCUGAGCCGAAGCUCAGCCAUUGUAACCCCUGUGACCUGCACAUAUAUGUCCAGAUGGCCUGCAGGAGCCAAGAAGUCUGGGGCAGCUGAAAAACCACACAAGAAGUAAAACAGCCAGUUCCUGCCUUAACUGAUUAACCAACAUUACAACAUUCCACCAUUGUGACCUGUCCCUGUCCUACCUUAACUGAUCAAUCGACCUUGUGACAGUCUUCUUCUGGACAAUGGGUCUUAUCAUCUCCCCACCAUGUACCUUGUGACCCCCUCCUCUGCUAACAAUAGAUAACCACUUUUUACUGUAAUUUUCCAUUACCUACCCAACUCCUAUAAAGCAACCCCUUCCCCAUCUCCCUUCACUGACUCUGUUUUCAGACUCAGCCCACUUGCACUCAAGUGAAUAAACAGCCUUGUUGCUCACACAAAGCCUGUUGGUGGUCUCUUCACACAGAUGUGCUUGACAAAAGGGAAGGGUGGAUUUGUCCUUCUGGUUACAUAUGUUCUGCUCACUCAUUUUGAAUUUAAUUAAACAAGGAUUGCCCUUACCUUUUCAUACUUUGUAAGAAACCAUAAAUACUUAUGCACCAUGAUUUUUUUAAAGAAACACUUUUUAUUUUGAAGUAAUUAUAGUCUCAUAGGAAGUUGCAAAAGUAGUACAUAGAGUCCCUGAGUACUCUUCCCCCAGUGGUGACAACUGUAGUAUAAUAUCAAUUCUGGGAAAUUGACAUUGGUACAAUACCAAAUAUACUAUGCCUUUUUCUCUAAGGCAUGAUGUUGCAGUAGCAUCCUUGUACAUGUAGCUAGGAGAACUUGUACUAAGCCCAGAUAAAUAGUUGAAGUACAAGGGCAAGGAGUGUGUCUUUGAUAUUUUAAUAGAAAUCACCUAUUGCCCUCUAGAAAAGCUGUACCCUUUUCCAGUGGCAGAGAACCUUCCUGAAAGGCAGUCCUGUGUAAUGGUGUCCAUUUCAUCACACCCUUAAAACACUCAGCUUUAACAAACAUGCAGAUUUUUGCUGAUGUGGGAGAAAAUAUUAAUUAUUAAUGAUAUUAAGGUGAUUAUCUUUUCGUAUGUUUAUAGAUAUUUGUAUUUCUUUUUAAAUGAACUGCUCAUGACCUUUGUCUACUUUUAUUUGGGUUUACUUCUUUCUCAUUUAUUCCUAUAAACUCUUUAUAAAAGGAAAUUAACCAUUUGAUUGUCAUAUGUUGUGAAUAUUUUUACCAUUUUGACUUUUGAAUUUAUGUCUUUUUAAUGAAUUGUAGAAGUUUAAAAUCUUUAUGGAAUAAAUUUAUUUAGUUUUUUGUUUAUGGCUUCUGAGUUUUGUGUCAUGAUUAGAAAGGCCUUUCUUACUCCAAAAGUAUAAGAUAUUCAAUUAUAAGAUUUCCUGUAGUUAUUCAAUGUGUGUGUAUGUAUGUUUAAAUCUUUUGGCCAUCUGAUAUUUGUGCUUGUGUGGGAAGUGAGAUAGAAAUCCGGGUUAGUUUUUUUCCCAAAUGGUUAACCAGUUGUCUCAGCACUGUCUGAGUAACUCUUCCAUGCCUUGGUUUCUUUAUCAUUACCAUAUGUAUUUGAGCCUAUUUCUGGACUCUAGUUCAUUUUAUUGAUUUGUCUGUCUGUUCCCAAGUCAGGAUUUUAAUAGAUAUUGCAAAGAGGAAAAAGAAAGUGCUAAAAUUGCCAUAAAAUAACUUCAAAUAGAAGAGUAUGGCAGUUCAGAGGUGGGAGAGAGUAUUUUUAGUUGGGGUCUGAAAAAGCUUCAUGAAAGAGGGACAUUUAAGGUGAAGCUUGAAUGACGAGCACUACGUUGGGCAAAGGGAAUAAAGAACAAAGUCAUGGAGGUGGUAAAUAUUUGUGCACAUUUGCAUCGUGUCUCUGCGAAGGAACUCAUGCUCCACCACUGGUGUUUUUAUGCAUGCGUGUCUUGAGCACAGUUAAGAGGAUAAAGAAAUUUUCAUGUUACUCUUUUGAGGCAUUUUGAGGACACAUUUAUUAAUCAUAAUGGCUACACGUUGAAUACCUACUGUUAUCCCAUAGACAUAGGGGUAUCUAUGUCAUUUUUAAUUUUCACCACAAUGAGCAAAGUUGAUAUUCCCAUUUUAGAAAUGAGGAAAAUGCCUCAGGCAGUUUAAAUAACACCUAAAAGUGGCUGGAUUGAGAUUAAAAUGGAUGACCAGCAAUUUAAAAAAUCAGAAUAGAAAAUACCACAAUUCAUCACCUAUGGUUAGGGUGUUUGUAGCAGAAGCUGUUCCUGCUCCACCUACGUCACCUGGGAUCCCUCUGCUAUCUCUGUGUAGACCAGUUGAAUCCCAGUGUGCAUUCUUUCCCAAAAGCCAGCAUACUGUUGGAAGGUACAAGAGAGCCAGAAGUGCCUGGGAAUUUAUGUCCCUUCCCUCCCCUCAUGCCUUUAACCAAUGACUGAUGGGGGUGGGGAUAGACAUACUCUAGCUCUUUUGCCCUCUCACUGGAUGACUGAGGUGUGACCUAUGAUGUUCCCCAAGCCCUCUGAGGGAAUGUAUCAAAAUUGCCUUCCAUGGGACUUGGCUUGAUGUUGUACCCUUACUUGGCCCCUUUCUACUCCUACUUUCUCCCAUAUGUCUUUUCUCUGGGAAUAGUUCCUAAUAAAUCACUUUCAUGUUCAUCUUCCUCUAGGGCAGCACUGCUUUAAGAAGCUUCUGUUGUAGUGAUGUAGGAGAGAGAGAGAGAGAGAGAGAGAGAGAGUGUGUGUGUGUGUGUGUGUGUGUGUGUGCGCAUGCAUUCCGUUAUCAUUUAACAUGUAUUUCUUAGUGUGGAGCCAGUUUGAAAGCUCUAUACUGGCUGUUCUAUACUACAUUAAACUGCCUGUUUGGGUAUAGUUCACUGAGCUGGAAAUUCUUCUUGAUGCCCCCAAAUAAGCACUGCAGAUCAGAUUCCAAAUCUUAUUGCUUAUUUGAGUACAGUGACUUAAAAUACGUUAAUAAAAAUCUAGGCUGGACACGGUGGCUUACAUCUGUAAUCCCAGGACUUUGGGAGGCCAAGGUGGGUGGGUCACUUGAGGUCAGGAGUUUGAGACUAGGUUGACCAAUGUGGCAAAACCCCAUCUCUACCAAAAAAAAAAAAAUACAAAAAAAUUAGCUGGGUCUGCUGGCAUGUGCUUGUAGUCCCAGCUACUCAGGAGGCUGAGGCAGGAGAAUAGCUUGGACCUGGGAGGCAGAGGUUGCCGUGAGCUGAGAUCGGGCCGCUACAGUCCAGCCUGGGUGACAGAGCAAGGCUCCAUCUCAAAAACAACAACAACAACAACAAACAACAACAACAACAACAAGUGUUAGUUAUGGCUGUAAAGAACACAGUCAAUUUUGAUACUAUUGGCUAGGCUGGUCUUUGACUUCUUGGGCAGCCAACCCUACUAAACAGUUUCCAAAGUUCAGGCUUCCCUUUGCCAAAGUUGAUAAGUGUGGUGUAAAGGUCAUGUUAGUUGAGUGUUAAUUUUUUUGCAGACUAGCAGAAACGAGAAGACCAGGUUUGCCUUGUAGCAGAGCCAGAAGGUGUGCCUGACCACAGGGCAGGAUAGUCAUGCCAGGACUCUGACCCUCAGCUUGGCUUAGAUGGAGAGAGGCAAGGUGUACAGAAUUGCUUUGCAUUUACCCCCAAAGACAAGGUAGUUAAAAGAAGGGAAGAUAACACACCACAUACUCACUACCAACCAAUGAGACCUAGCAAAGGCGUCACACAAAUCCUUGUCAGAUUUGUGGGGAUCCUGGGGCAGUCCUGACUGCCAGAAUCCACCGGAGGCCAUGAGUGGAGGGCUGAGGACAUCAUUUCUAAGUACAGUGGAAAUGAAAUCUGGAAGGUAGUGCAAAGGAAAGGGCAGGAGACUCAUCUUCUCAGGGAAGUCGUGGGAUCCCUGCCAUCACAUAUGUCCGCUGAUGACCCUUAUUUGUCAGUGCAUGACGUAACAUUGUCUACACGUUUAGAAAAGAGCAAAAAUAUGUUCAAAAAUCUGAUGGAAUGAUUAAGACACAAGGAGGGAGAUCUAAACUCAUCAAAUUUAGGAUGAAGAUGGCUGUGAGUUAAGAAUUUAUAGGGAGUUGGGCACAGUGGUUCACGCCUGGAAUCCCAGCACUUUGGGAAGCAGAGAUGGGAGGAUCACUUGAGGCAAGGAGUUUGAGACCAGUCUGGGCCAUAUAGUGAGACUCUUAUCUCUACAAGAAAUAAAAAAUUAGCUGAUCAUGGUUGCGUGCACCUGUAUUACCAGCUACUCAGCGGGCUGAGGAGGCAGGAUGACUUGAGUUCAGGAGUUGGAGGCUGUAGUGAGCUAUGAUUGUGCCACUGCAUUCCAGCCUGGGUGACAGGGUGAGAUCCUGUCUCUAAAAAAAGUGGAAUUUUUAGAGUUUAAUAUUGUCCCAAAGAAGAUCCAUAUGUUCUGGUAGGCAUGAAUAUUCUGGACAUCCCGAAGGUGUGAUGCAGCGUGGAGAGUGGGUGCACAUCAGCAUCACCAGCACCUCUGUUAAGCAGAAUACUGUGCAUGGGUAUUAAUCCCUGGUGGGGAAUUCUGUGCGACUAUUAAGAAUCCCAGAGGAGAACUCUAAACACCUUGCCAGCUUCUACUAAGGUUCCUAGAUCUGGCAGGUUUCUAGAUCUGGCAGGAGGUUUUGCCCAAACCCAGCUGCCAGUGUAUGAGUUUGGUGAGACAGAGCACUUGUGCAACAUGUCAGGCAAAGCAAGUUUAGUACUCCCAGGCAGGGAGCAAGGGCCAACAGAAGUCUAGGAUCCAUGAUGUGCUGGUCCCCCAAGGCUUAGGGAGGCUGCCCAGGGUGGAUGCAGUCUUAUCUGUAUGUGCUCCACUAUACAUCUGAUAUAGUUUGGAUAUUUGUCCCCUCCAAAUCUCAUGUUGAAAUGUGAUCCCCAGUGUGGAGGUGGGGCCUGGAGGGAGGUGUUUGGGUCAGAGGGGUUGAUCCCCCAUGAAUGGCUUCGUGUCCUCCCCGUGGUAAUGAGCGAGCUCUCAGCUAUUACUUCAUGUGAGAUCUGGUUGUUUUAAAGAACCUGGCACCUUCUCCUUUCUCUUUUGCCCCCUCUCAUGCCAUGUGACAUGCUGCCUCCCUCUUUGCCUUCCACCAUGAGUGGGAGCUUCCUGAGGACCUCACCAGAAGCUGAGGAGAUGCUGGUGCUAGGCUUCUUGUAGAGACUGCAAAGCCGUAAGACAAAUGAACUUCUUUUUUGUAUAAAUUGCCCAGAUAUUCCUUUACAGCAAAACAAAAUGGACUGAUAUAGCACCACUACUGAGGGACCCUGAAAGCAUUCUGCUCUGGUUUUAUACCUCAGAGGCCACUUGGAUUGGUGAGCCAAGCAUUGCAGGCUGUUCUAGGAAUGACGGAGACAAAGCCUGGGCUAUUCUGGGCAUUUCCUCCUAUCUCAGAAUGUUGCAUUCUCUGUACAUUCUGCCCAAGAAUUGCAAGCAAAGGAGGGUCAGCCAAGGCUAUUUGCAGGCUUGUCCUCCUGUCUGGUUGAAAGAUCCUUCAGUACCAGCCAACUCUCUCUCCUGGUUCCAUGUUCACUCUGCUACUUUCUAAUUAUUACUCCAGGUUGGAGGGAUGGAUGAUGGACAACAACUUUUCUCAUCACUGGAAGGGCAUGUUCCCCACUGAAACUGAAUCCACUGUUUUUUGUUUGUUUGUUUAUUUGUUUAUUUUUGUUUUUGAGACAGCGUCUGGCUUUGUUGCCCAGACUGGAGUGCACUGGUGCAAUCUCGGCUCACUGCAACCUCUGCCUCCGGGGUUCAAGAGAUUCUCCUGCCUCAGCCUCCCAAGUAGCUUGGACUACAGGCACGCACCACCAUGCCUGGCUAAUUUUUAUAUUUUUAGUGGAGACAGGGUUUCACCAUGUUGGCCAGACUGGUCUUGAGCUCCUGACUUCAAGUGAUCCACCUGCCUUGGCCUCCCAAAGUGCUGGGAUUACAGGCAUCAGGCCACUCCACUGGGUUUUGAGAAUCAGUCAAUUUUAUGUGUGUUUAGGUUACUUAGCUG
rnacentral:lncRNA from 1 species